UACCCAGAAAAAAAAAAUCUUUCAAAAUCAAAAGUAAAUAAAGACUUUCAAAUGCACAAAAGUGAAAGAUUUUUUCACCAGCAGAACUACACUACAGGAAAUAUUAAGACAAGUCCUUCAGGGAGAAGGAAAAUGAUACCACAUGUAAAUCUGGAUCUAUACAAAAAAGUGAAUAAUACCAGAAAUGGGCUUCAAAAUGCAUGAAGCAAAACUCCCAGAACUACAAGAAGAAAUAGACAAACCGAAAAUUAUAGUCUAUGAUUUUGACUGAUGGAAUAGGCAGAAACCAGUAAGAAUAUAGAAAACUGGAAUAAUGCUAUCAAAAACUUGACUUAAUUCACAUUUAUAGAACAUUCCACCCAACAACAAACAUUCUUUUUGAGUGCUCCUGGAACAUUCACCAAGAUGGAUCACUUAAUCCUUAUUAGGGCGAGGUUUCCUUACUUAUCGGCGAGAAAAUGCCAUGGAGGGGGAACACCUUUUUAAUGGAUCUUUGGCUGAGACUUGGCACAUGGUUGUUCUAUGGGAGGAAAUGUGAAAUGGGGAUAUUAUUCUGCCUCACCAUGCUAAGAGGAGGAUUCAAACUGCUCAGGAGCAUGAAUUUUGAUGAUGGAAUUAAAAAAAAAAUCAGUUUUCUCUUCAGUAUGCACUCUUUCUCCUCAUCCAUUCCACUGGACCCUCAUCCAGUCUUCACAUCCAGCUGCCUUCCCUUCUAUCUUUCCUAACUACAAUCAGUGGCUCCCCAGUUCCUGCUGUCUCUCUCAUUUCCCUCAACAGCCCCUUUCCUUUUCCUCCCGCGACUGGCCCAUCCAGCUCUCUCCUCCCUCCCUCCGCAGUCCCUGAGGAGAUCAAAGAGUGACAGUGAGGCUGCCUCCGGGAGACACGUUUCCAGCUCCCCCUCCCGGCUGGGCUGAGUUGUGGGCUGCGAGACCGGAGGCUGGGCCGGGGCGUCCUGGCUUCUGGGGGGAAGGGGGGGGGGCGGAUUAGGAAAGCGGUGUCUGCAGCAGCACUGCAUCCAAUAGAAAAGUAAAACUCCCUUUGUCCUAGUUAGCGUGGUGUCCCCUCAAGUUUGGGACUUGGCCGCACAUUCUUGAAAGCCAUUGUUCGCACUGAAGUUCUUAGGUCAGGAGCAGCGCCGGCGGGAGCGGAGCUGACACUGGGAGCGCUUCCCUGGUACCGAACUGACCCUAGCGUCGGCGGAGAGAGAAGUCGCCCUCCGGGAGGGGGGCUCCAGCGCCUAGGGUGGGGGGCAGCCGCUGGCCAAUCAGGAGGCGAGGCCGCGCCGGGCUUCCCCUCCGCGCUCCCGAGCGAGCGGCGCACAGUGGAAAGUUGGGAGCCUGAGUGGCUGGCCCCGGCGGAGAGCGGCGGCGGAGAGCGGC